rnacentral:SRP_RNA from 1 species
GGACUUUGUGGGCCGGGUUCCGUUGUGCUUCUGUUGGCCCCACCCAUUCCAAGUUCUAUAGCAGACCGUCUGGGCCCCAUGUGAAACCUGGGCCUCAUGGACUCACGGUCCACAAUGUGGCGGGCACAUCGAGAGGCUAACUUCAUAGAGCAACUACAACUACCCGCUUCCAACGGGUAGAAGGAUAACAGGACACUACAAACCUGGCCCGCUUGUGCCCCGUGGCC